rnacentral:rRNA from 1 species
AUUGAACGCUGGCGGAAUGCUUUACACAUGCAAGUCGAGCGGCAGCACGGGGGCAACCCUGGUGGCGAGCGGCGAACGGGUGAGUAAUACAUCGGAACAUGCCCAGUCGUGGGGGAUAACACUUCGAAAGAAGUGCUAAUACCGCAUACGACCUGCGAGAGAGAGCGGGGGAUCGCAAGACCUCGCGCGAUUGGAGUGGCCGAUGUCAGAUUAGCUAGUUGGUGGGGUAAAGGCCUACCAAGGCAACGAUCUGUAGCUGGUCUGAGAGGAUGAUCAGACACACUGGGACUGAGACACGGCCCAGACUCCUACGGGAGGCAGCAGUGGGGAAUUUUGGACAAUGGGGGCAACCCUGAUCCAGCCAUUCCGCGUGAGUGAAGAAGGCCUUCGGGUUGUAAAGCUCUUUCGGCAGGAACGAAACGGUGAGCUCUAACAUAGCUUGCUAAUGACGGUACCGUAAGAAUAAGCACCGGCUAACUACGUGCCAGCCGCCGCAGUAACAC